rnacentral:lncRNA from 1 species
AUCAAGCGAUCCUCCCACCUGGGCCUCCCAAAGUGUUGAGAUUACAGCAUGAGCCACCACACCCAGACUAAAAGGCAGUUUGAUUUUACAAAUCAAAAUAGCAGUAAUCUAUGGAGAUUUACUUGUGAGAUUGGUAGGAAACAUCUUAAAUGUAAUCAAACAAUAACUUACAUCUUGAUGAAUUCACGUGUAGGUUUCUCUUCCUCAGAAGAAAUCAGAUGCUGUUCAGAGCACGAAGGCUAGAAUUUUACCCUGGUUCUCAUGCUACCUUGCACCCAGGUUGGAUCCUGAGUACAGUUUUUGGCAGGUGGGCCUGCAUAUAAGUUAGCAAUGGGGGAUACCCAGCUGCCUCUCUUCAUACAGCUGAGGUUUUGGGGAGUCAUUCUUAUAGCCCCUGGGUUGGGCCUAGUCCUGCAAAUGAAUUCACCAGCCCUAAAGCCCAAAUUGCAGCCUCUGUCAUUCACCUUCCAGGAGUGGAAAGGGCAGUAAGUUUCAUCUUAUUAUUAUUGCUAUUUUGGUGGUUUUGUUGAGGUUGGUGUGUGUAUGUUAGUAAGAUAAAGCUCUCAGAAAUUACAUAGCAUUUGUCAAGGAUAUAAGAGGGACUGUGCCACAUCUGGCUGUAUAGAAGGUGGUUCCAUAUCUUUAAAUAGAGCCCCAGGUCCUUAGCCACCAGAAAGGUUUUCAGGGGAAGUGUGCACCCUCAGCAGCUGCUGCUGGUGGGCAGGAUGGGCACGCAUGGAACAGGCUUUCCUCUGUGGCCAGGUGAGAAGCAGGUGGUGAGACACAGAGCAGUGCUGGGCUCUGCUUCUGAAGCCUCCAACCUUUCCUUCCCUAGGAAGCCCCAGAGAGAUUGGUGAGGGUGAUUUCCCAGGAAGACGCAGUGUGCUCUGACUUCUGUGACAGUGAGCAACGGGACCAGUGGAUGUCCAGAUGCUGGCAAUGAGUAGGCCUUCCCUACGCUGGGUGGCGUCCACACCCUCCGGCUUCCAUUGCCUGGGUCUCCUGGAGGUGGUUUGCUGGAUGAAUACCGCAUGCACAGAGGCUGGCCUUGGGUUUGAAUAUGGCAGCCAGUGGACAGCAUGUGCUUCAGUUAUGAGACUGCCCAGGAGAUGCUUCUUCCAAGGCAGAGCACGUGCAGAGUCCAGUGCUGGAGAGGCCGGGUGCGCAGUUGACCCAUUUCCAGUUCUGUUUUCCCUCUCAUGUUCCUCUGUCCCCAUCUAGGACAUGCUCUGGAGUCAGAAGACAGCGAAAAGAGAAGCAGAAGCCCCGGUGGCAAGAGUCUGAAGCAGGAAGGAUGACUGUAGCCUGUGGAUUGUACUGCAGUAGGAAACUGUCCUAGCAAGGCUCCACUUUGCCCCAGCUUCAAGCUGGAAAGGAGGAGAACAUGAAACAUUGCUUGAAGACAAUGGCCGAGACAGCAGGUCCCACCCUGCACAGCCACCAGCAUCUCUCCCCUCAGCCCUGUCUCCUCUUCUGCAGUUGGGAUCUGCACAUUUAAGCCUGAAAUUGUCCUGUGAAGUGAAGUAUGAUCGGACAGCCUCUUUUCAGCUUUUAUGACAAUGGAGACAGAGGAAUUGUGGCUCUUGCCAAGGUCACAGGAUUGGAAUACAGAGCCAAGCCACCCCAGGACAUGCAAGAGCCUCAGAAGGGAAAAAAGCCCAGCAGGAAGGGAGAACAAGUAGCCUCUGUCCUGAAGUUGUAACAGCCAGGGGCCAGGAUGGAGGAGGAGGACCCCAUAAUCUGCCCAUCUGGGACUUGGCAGGGGACCUGGGAAAAUGUACCCCAACCCAUCCCUUAAGGGCCUUUGUCUUUGGCCCAUUGGCCUAGCAUCUACUUCUUCACCGUGUCUGUUCUUGUCACACCUAGUCAGGUCUGUUUGGGUCUGAGGUGCAUGGAACAUUCUGGGUAGGCCUCCAGCAAACGGAAGCUCUUCACCGUGUUUCCAGCCUGGGACCAAGGGCAGCAUACUGGCAAAGUUGCCAAAGCAAGGGACUCCAGCCUCUUAGGAGUUAAUGACUCCCUCUCCCCAGCUGUCCUCCCCUUGGUGCUCCUCUUCCUCCCUCCUCCUGCUCACAGCAGGCAGGGCCUAGACCCGGGAGCCAUGCUGCUGUGCUGUUGCCAGGGGAGCACGGAGGCAGAUCUGAGCUAUGCAGGGAAAAGGCCCAGCCUGUCAAAGUGUCUGAGAUGAACCGCCGCCGUCCCUGUGCAGCUGGGCUCAGACGUGUCUCAGCUCUUGUUCUGUGCCUGAGAAUGGCGAAACCCAGUGAGGUUCAAGGGCAAACUCGCUAUUCAUUAGUCAGGGGUUCUUGACGUCCCGUCUCUCCCAGGGAUGAGUUCCCCCCUCCUCUUUCUCCCCCUCCUAUGACACAUUCCUGGGUGCCUUUGGUGAGGACUGCACACCCUCCUCCUGCCUAGCCCCCUCUCCAAAGGCCCCUGAAUAAACUCCCCCCAAGGAGACCAGGCAGGGCAGAGACAAUGGCUGCAGGAAAUCAUUCAGGCGGGACAUGCUGGCCUGCCCUCCACCCAGUCCCCCUGUGGGCCCCACUCCCUUCUGAUUCAGGGCACCCUUGGGCCCCCAGCCUAUACAGGCCUGGACAGGAAGAAACCACUGGGAACCACCCUAAGGACAACAUGCUAGUCCAGUGCCAUUCUUCGCUGGCUCUGUGGGUGCCUUUGUGGCCUGUACCGACUGGCUGGCUAAUUUUGUGGUUUCUGUAC